GAUGAAGAACGCAGUGAAAUGCGAUACGUAGUGUGAAUUGCAGAAUUCAGUGAAUCAUCGAAUCUUUGAACGCACAUUGCGCCCGCCAGCAUUCUGGCGGGCAUGCCUGUUCGAGCGUCAUUUCAACCCUCAAGCUCUGCUUGGUGUUGGGGCCCUACGGUUGACGUAGGCCCUUAAAGGUAGUGGCGGACCCUCUCGGAGCCUCCUUUGCGUAGUAACUAACGUCUCGCAUUGGGAUUCGGAGGGACUCUUGCCGUAAAACCCCCAAAUUUUCUAAUGGUUGACCUCGGAUCAGGUAGGAAUACCCGCUGAACUUAAGCAUAUCAAUAAGCGGAGGA
rnacentral:misc_RNA from 1 species